rnacentral:rRNA from 1 species
UACGUAGGUGGCUAGCGUUGUCCGGAUUUACUGGGCGUAAAGAGCGCGCAGGCGGUCGUUCAAGUCGAGUGUGAAAGCCCCCGGCUCAACUGGGGAGGGUCACUCGAUACUGAUCGACUCGAAGGCAGGAGAGGGAAGCGGAAUUCCCGGUGUAGUGGUGAAAUGCGUAGAUAUCAGGAGGAAUACCGAUGGCGAAGGCAGGUCUCUGGCUGACACUGACGCUCAUGCACGAAAGCGUGGGGAGCAAACAGG